rnacentral:rRNA from 1 species
UACGGAGGGGACUAGCGUUGUUCGGAAUUACUGGGCGUAAAGCGCACGUAGGCGGAUUUGUAAGUCAGGGGUGAAAUCCCGGGGCUCAACCUCGAGACGCCGGUGGAAACUGCAAAGCUAGAGUCCGGAAGAGGAGAGUGGAAUUCCGAGUGUAGAGGUGAAAUUCGUAGAUAUUCGGAAGAACACCAGUGGCGAAGGCGACUCACUGGACAUGUAUUGACGCUGAGGUACGAAAGCGUGGGGAGCAAACAGG